UACGUAGGGUGCAAGCGUUAAUCGGAAUUACUGGGCGUAAAGCGUGCGCAGGCGGUUAUGCAAGACAGAUGUGAAAUCCCCCGGGCUUAACCUGGGAACCGCAUUUGUGACUGCAUAGCUGGAGUACGGCAGAGGGGGGAUGGAAUUCCGCGUGUAGCAGUGAAAUGCGUAGAGAUGUGGAGGAACACCGAUGGGCGAAGGCAGCCCCCCUGGGCUAACACUGACGCUCGAUGCACGAAAGCGUGGGGAGCAAACAGG
rnacentral:rRNA from 1 species